GACGAACGCUGGCGGCGUGCCUAAUACAUGCAAGUUGAGUGCUGAAGCUUGGUACUUGUACCAACUGCAUGAGCAGCGAACGGGUGAGUAACGCGUGGGGAAUCUGCCUUUGAGCGGGGGACAACAUUUGGAAACGAAUGCUAAUACCGCAUAAAAACUUUAAACACAAGUUUUAAGUUUGAAAGAUGCAAUUGCAUCACUCAAAGAUGAUCCCGCGUUGUAUUAGCUAGUUGGUGAGGUAAAGGCUCAACAAGGCGAUGAUACAUAGCCGACCUGAGAGGGGGAGCGGCCACAUUGGGAAUGGGACACGGCCCAAACUCCUACGGGAGGCAGCAGUAGGGAAUCCUCGGCAAUGGAGGAAAGUCUGACCGAGAAACGGCGGGUGAGUGAAGAAGGUUUUCGGAUCGUAAAACUCUGUUGGUAGAGAAGAAAGUUGGUGAGAGUGGAAAGCUCAUCAAGUGACGGUAACUACCCAGAAAGGGACGGCUAACUACGUG
rnacentral:rRNA from 1 species